UACGAAGGGGGCUAGCGUUGUUCGGAAUCACUGGGCGUCAAGGGCGCGUAGGCGGCCGAUCAAGUCGGGGGUGAAAGCCUGUGGCUCAACCACAGAAUUGCCUUCGAUACUGUUUGGCUUGAGACCGGAAGAGGUUAGUGGAACUGCGAGUGUAGAGGUGAAAUUCGUAGAUAUUCGCAAGAACACCAGUGGCGAAGGCGGCUGACUGGUCCGGUUCUGACGCUGAGGCGCGAAAGCGUGGGGAGCAAACAGG
rnacentral:rRNA from 1 species